UAAGUAAAAUAAUAGAGAAGUAGUUUAAAAGACUCUUAUCAACAAAAUCAAGAUUACAAAACUCACUCAAGCAAAUUAUCAAACACUUUCCGGGCAAACGAAGCUUCGAGGAAUUCGACUUGCAAAAAACCAAUGUCAAAUUUCUAUGUGCGAUUUUUUGAAAUUAAAAGGAUAAUCGAGCCUAAAACCCAUCAAUCCCAAGUCCAACGGUCAAAAAUUGCAGUAAUCUCACCUGUCUUUUUCUUCCCCUUAAAAUCGAUAACCAUAACCGAAUAUUCUUAAUUGGGAAUCCUUCCUAACAUGUUCUUGGUUUUGGGUAUCACGGGAAUCGAUUAAUCCGAAAAUCAAAAACAACAAACAACCAAAUUAUAAAACAUUAGAGCUCAAACGUAGCUUAAUCAAGCUCUUGGGUAUGACAGAGAGUCUUUGAAGAACGAAGCGUGACAGUGAAGAAGAAGAGAUCUACAGCAGCUUUCGGGGAACUCCGGCAAGUAAUCCAACGCUGACGAGCCGCUUCCGGGAAACGCCGUCAAGGAAGAAAUCCCACAGUACGCAAAAAACGAGACACCCAAAUACUUACACGAUCGUGUUUCAGGUUAUACGAUCGUGUAUACGGGUUUACACUUCUUUUAUCUCACAAAUCAUUUCCAAACACACAAAAAAAUCCCAACUUUCUCUCUAGCCAUUUCAGUCAAAUCCUUCAGAUCUCCUCAUUUUUCUUGCUUAAAGUUCAAAGAUUAAUCUUUUAGGAAGCUAAAAAAGUGAAGCAUCAUACACGAGGAACAGAUUAUCGGUUGAAAAAUUCAAAAAUCCUGUCUUUUUCAGAUUUUCUCAAAAACAUUGCGAUUUCUUGAGCACUAUCAGGGUAAAUAGACUAGGACAAGAACACGAAGAUUUACAGAUGCACUUUAGGAAGCAUUGGAGCAUAAUCGGAGCUGGAAAUUCCUGAUCGAAGUUGAGCAUUAGAUGAAACGCAGCUAGAACUAAAGAUUUAUGUCUGAAAUAGACGAAAAAUCCUUUACAUGAUUGUGUAACCCCAUUACACGACCUUGUAAGUCUCCCUUUGGACCAUUGUUUAAUGCUCAGAAGAUCACGAUAAGAUUGCACGAUCGUGUUUUCCCCUUAUACGAUCGUGCAAGUCUCCUGCAAGUGUUAUAGAACCUUUUAUAGAACCUCUUAAGCAGCCUAGGCAGUCUAAAAUCAGUUACACGGCAACAUAUGUAAUCGUGUUUCCCUUUAUAUGAUAAUGUUUUUCUCCAAGAGUGAGUGGCAACAUACGUUAUUAAAUUGUCCCAGAACGCACUUUCAUUAUUUACACGAUCUUGUUUUCCCAUUACACGAUUGUGUAAGUCUUCGAGUCCUUAAGGUGUUGUUGUGUACUCCUAUAAAAUACUAUAUGUUUACCUGAGAUGAAGUUAACCAGACGAAUUCUUGACAACUUUCAGACGAUUAAUGGAGAUAAUCGAAGAUCCGAAGAACAUGAUUCGACUUGUUGCUUUUGUUUAGUAAGAUUUGUAGUUUACACUUUAAUUUACUGCAUUUGAUUCGUUUUUAGCCAUGUAUGAUGAAAAACUCUAGAUUUCAGUGACUCGGCUUUUCUUGCAAGUAAUCAUUACUAGGCUUGAUAUUUUAGUUA